AAUUAAAAUAUUAUUAAGUCAAUUUAUUAUAAAACUCUUUAACACUAUAGAAAUUCUGGUUAGCUAUCCAUUCAUAUAAUUUAAUUUUAAACAUUCUUGUGCUGAGCGACUUGAUAUAUUUCGGUAUUCUAUUGUAUAACUGGACACACAUAUUAAUACAGCUAUUGUUAAAUUUGCUUAAUCUAGGGUUGUCGCUCACUACUAUAGCCAAUAGAAAAUAC